AUUAGAUAAAAAACCAAUGCCCUUCGGGGCUUUCUGGUGAUUCAUAAUAACUAAACGAAUCGCAUGGCCUUGAGCCGGCGAUGGUUCAUUCAAAUUUCUGCCCUAUCAACUUUCGAUUGUAGGAUAGAGGCCUACAAUGGUUUCAACGGGUAACGGAGAAUUAGGGUUCGGUUCCGGAGAGGGAGCCUGAGAAACGGCUACCACAUCCAAGGAAGGCAGCAGGCGCGCAAAUUACCCAAUCCCGACACGGGGAGGUAGUGACAAUAAAUACUGAUACAGGGCUCUUUUGGGUCUUGUAAUUGGAAUGAGUACAAUUUAAAUCCCUUAACGAGGAACAAUUGGAGGGCAAGUCUGGUGCCAGCAGCCGCGGUAAUUCCAGCUCCAAUAGCGUAUAUUAAGGUUGUUGCAGUUAAAAAGCUCGUAGUUGAACCUUGGGUCUGGCUGGCCGGUCCGCCUCACCGCGUGCACUGGUCCGGCCGGACCUUUCCUCUUGGGGAUCCGCAUGCCCUUUACUGGG
rnacentral:rRNA from 1 species